rnacentral:tRNA from 1 species
GUGAGUUGGCUCAGUGGUUACAGCUUAAGUCUUGUAACCGGAUGGUUGCGGGAUCGAAUCCCGCUAGAAAUA